ACCCGACUCCAUGAAGCUGGAUUCGCUAGUAAUCGCGCAUCAGCCACGGCGCGGUGAAUACGUUCCCGGGCCUUGUACACACCGCCCGUCACACCAUGGAAGUCUGCAAUGCCCGAAGCCGGUGGCCUAACCACUUAUGUGGAAGGAGCCGUCUAAGGCAGGGCAGAUGACUGGGGUGAAGUCGUAACAAGGUAAC
rnacentral:rRNA from 1 species